GCCCUUGGUUGAGAAGGAGGCUGGUCGUGUCCCCAGGGCCAAGCCGGGUGCCACCUGUGCUGCCUGCAGACAGGAGGUGCCACGGCACUGUGGGGAUGGGGCUGCCUGAGGAGAGACCAACGGCAGUAAAGCACGCACACAUUACUCACUCUACAUCUUCCACUUCUGGUGAAACUGAUGCUUUCUUAAACAAACAAACCUGAAGUUGUAGAUGAAGCGUUGAACUUGGCUCUCAGCAGGUAGACGUGUCCCUUGCCUGUGAGGGGAUUCUAGCCUAGCCACAAGCCAGGUGGCUUGGGCAGGAGACACCUGCUGUCUCCUGGCCGUGGAGCACAGACGCAGCCGUCGGGUACAAGGGAGGGGCUCUCCAUGAAGGCUUGUGGAAGGAACCCUUUCAUGCCACUUAAACUGUCUUGUGUUUCCAGAAAUCAUCAGACUGACUUGGGGUGCUGUCACUACCCAUGUUCCCAGCAGCCCUCUUCUGUCAGUGUACAACUAGGAGUCAGCCUAUGGCCUUGUCAACUGGGGGCCUGGGCAACAAGCUGAUUCAAUAUAAGUUGGAUAUUAACAUGUGAAGAAUUAGGGUCAGGGUGCUCACUCACUGUAGUGUGUAGUCAGGGUGCUCACUCACUGUAGUGUGUUGUCAGGGUGCUCAGUCACUGUAGCAGGUGUAGGGUUAGGAUGGGGGCCAUGGGAGAAGGGUAAUGGAGGAACGAUUCUCAUUUGUCCACCUUGGAGGCUGCUUCCUGCUGCUCUGUUGGUCACCAGCAUUGAGCAUGAAAGCGAAGCUUGAGCUCAGGCUGUGGGAUGGAAUCCAGUCAGGUAUGCAUGACUGUGGUCCAAACAGGGUUAGCAAGGGUAAGUCUCUUCUUGGUGUCUGAGAGCAGAAGAGAGCCUGGGAUUGUUUAGAGAUUCCAAAAGGAAGCAAAAGUCAGAAAGACCUGGGGAGCGAGGGGACUACUCAGGAAAUGUGGGUCAGUGGGUGUAGAGACUGAAGUUCAGGAACCAGCAGGGUCUGUGUGGGUAGGAGGGGCUCAGAGACUUGAGGAGGCAGAAGUUGAAGGUCAAAGGUCCUAGGACUGGCCUGGGCACGCAGCUCCUGUGCUACCCCAUAAGCCCCUUGUCAUCUCUGCCCUCACUCACUCAGCCCUUACUCAACUCCUGCCCUCAUUUACUCCUGCCCUCACUCAGCCCUUAUUCAACUCCUGCCGUCACUCACUCAGCCCUUACUCAACUCCUCCCCUCACU